UACAGAGGUCCCGAGCGUUGUUCGGAUUCACUGGGCGUAAAGGGUGCGUAGGUGGCAUGGUAAGUUUGAUGUGAAAGCUCAGGGCUUAACCCUGAAAUGGCAUUGAAUACUACUGUGCUGGAGGUUUGGAGGGGGGACUGGAAUUCUUGGUGUAGCAGUGAAAUGCGUAGAUAUCAAGAGGAACACCAGUGGCGAAGGCGAGUCCCUGGACAACACCUGACACUGAGGCACGAAAGCUAGGGGAGCAAACAGG
rnacentral:rRNA from 1 species